rnacentral:rRNA from 1 species
GAUGAACGCUGGCGGCGUGCCUAAUACAUGCAAGUCGAGCGAACAGAUGAGGAGCUUGCUCCUCUGACGUUAGCGGCGGACGGGUGAGUAACACGUGGAUAACCUACCUAUAAGACUGGGAUAACUUCGGGAAACCGGAGCUAAUACCGGAUAAUAUAUUGAACCGCAUGGUUCAAUAGUGAAAGACGGUUUUGCUGUCACUUAUAGAUGGAUCCGCGCCGCAUUAGCUAGUUGGUAAGGUAACGGCUUACCAAGGCAACGAUGCGUAGCCGACCUGAGAGGGUGAUCGGCCACACUGGAACUGAGACACGGUCCAGACUCCUAAGGGAGGCAGCAGUAGGGAAUCUUCCGCAAUAGGCGAAAGCCUGACGGAGCAACGCCGCGUGAGUGAUGAAGGUCUUCGGAUCGUAAAACUCUGUUAUUAGGGAAGAACAAAUGUGUAAGUAACUAUGCACGUCUUGACGGUACCUAAUCAGAAAGCCACGGCUAACUACGUG